rnacentral:lncRNA from 1 species
GCAAAAUUGUUGAGCCAAGGUCCUGGAACUGUGAGUAAGAAAAUGACAAACCCAUCUCUCAGUGGCACCCCUACUGCAGGAGUUGAGCACUCAUUAGAGAAGCAGGAAAUGGACCUGAAUAUCCUCUUAGCAGCCAUGACUGGAUGCCAAAUGGGACAAAGAAGGAUGUCAUGACUCAUUAGUGUAAACAGGAGGAAGUUGACUACUUCAAUUUUCU